UGGCUGGGAGGCUCUGGAUGGGAACCAAUAACAACAGAACAGAGAGCAGCUGCUCUGUUCUCCCCUUGGGACCAUGUUGUCCACCGCACUCGUUUUACACAUGGGGAAACUGAGGCCCAAAGGGUUGCUCACCAGUCAAGGUGUCUAGAAGAGUCUGCAGCAGCGGAGGCUGAGGCCGGCACUCCAGAAGAGGCGGGAACACUGGCUGGGCGGCUCAGUGGCCCCACCGGCUUCUUCAAGGUGAGUGGGCUUAGCUCCACAGAGUCCACAUUCUCUCCGCUUAUACUUUUGACUCUAAGGAAAGAAAAGGAAGCCGGACAUGGAGCUGCACGGCUGUAAUCCCAGCACGAAGGAGGCUGAGCAAGAGGACCACUGCGGGUUCAAGGCCAGUCUGGACUACAUAGAGAGCUCAAGGCCAGCUUGUGCUACAAACUGAGAUCCUGUCUCAGAGAAGGAAGGAAGAUAGUGGCCUUAAACGACCACGGACCCCAAAUUCAGAUUUUUCCAGUAUAUCCAGAUGGCUCUGUCCUGCCCACUGAGGACUCACAAGAGGGUAAGAUGAAGAUGUGUAGGCCACGUGCUUGCAUGUCUGACGGGCGCUGUCCUCAUCAAGAAAGGUGAACAUAUCAAAACGUCAUUUGUUGUACCACACAGGUUACACACCAGGCUCCCGGUCUCCAGGGCUAAAGGUUGAGGGUGUGUGCGUGUGUGUGCGUGAGUGUGUGUGUGUGUGUGGUUUGGUUAAUCAUUUUGUGCGAUAACCACAUCUAGAUGCAAAAAGGAGUAAAAAUAAAAUUUAGUGAAAGAGCAGUUUCUUAAUUUGCUGACUACUCGAGGACAUUGAAGAUUUUUCAUGUAAAUAUUAUUUUCCCACCUAUAAAAUUAUAUUUGUUCACUGUCAUUUAAAUAACCCUAAAAUAAUUUUUGUGGCUAUGGGCAUUAAACUCAGGGCCUCAUAUAUCGCCCAUAAGUGGUCUACCACCGUGCUACACCCACAGUCCUUUUUCAUUUUUUUAAACUUUGAGACAAGGUGCCGGCUGCCCACAGAGAGGGUCCCUGCAGAUGCUGGCCUCACCAACACGUCCACUGUGCUUGUGAAUUUGAACGCUUUACCUACAGAGGUUUUCAGAAAAACGGAGACCACAAUGAUGUGCCUGAAUCCUGAAGCCUCUUCCAGGACAGAAAGAGGAGAAGGUAGGUGGGUGAAAGGGAAGGGUUGAUAAGGACAGGGUUAGUGUCAGUGAUGCCGUUAGCACUGGAGUUGUGAGGAUUAUCACAAUGAAAAGGAGGAAAAUGUUUCUGAGAGAUAGUGGGGAUAAGGGAGCAGGAAGUGUGGACAGCAAGCCUGUGAUGGGUGAGUGUUAUGGCUUGGGUCUAGAUGUCCCCUGAAGCCUCAUGUGGGCAUAGCUUGGGCUUUUUCAGAGGUGGCUCAAUCUAGAGUAUGUGAUGCUGAGAUUAAGGGUGUGUGAUUACUAAAUCAGUCCACUGAUUGGUUUGGUGCUGCCGUAACCUGGUAAGAAUAUAAGAGGGGGCAGACAGAAGCUGCUAAGGUCACUUGUUGGUUUCCUUGUUGCUUUGCUACCUUUUGCCCACCGUGAACGGUUUCUCUUCUGCUCUACCACCCUACCUUGGAGCCAGGUGAUUGAUUAUGGACUGAAACCUCUACAAACUGUGAGCUAAAUAAACCUUUCCCACUCUAAAUUGGGUGUCGGGUAUUUUGUCUCAGCAAGAAGAAAAGUAAUUAAGAUAGUGAGGGCAUGGAGGUAGAGAAAUAAUAUAGAUUAUUCUAAUGAAGACUUUUAAAUGCCUGAUGUUGGUUGCAAAGGUGAGAUGGCGAGCUGACCUUCGCAGAGGCUGGUCACGCUGGCGAGACGAUGAGUCACUGUGGCAGUGAUCACCGAGGUGACAGAGAAGGCCCACGGGCCGGCAGAUGUUGCAGGCGUUGGGUGAACAAUCCAGCUUACGGGGCCUGGCUCUGGGCCACCAAUCCUGCAGCUGAGGAAGAGCUGAUUGUCCUCUCCGUUAGAGAUGAAGGUAAAGAGGAGCUGAAGAUGAUACUUGCACAAUCCUGGACCUUGACAGAAACCUGGUUCUGCCGCCAUUUCUGCAAUGAAACCCUAUUCUGAAAACGAGGGAUUCACGGGAAAUGAAAGAUUACAAGUCCCGCAGUCCCAGCAACUUGGAAGGCUGAGGCAGGAAGAUCAUUUUGAGCCAGGGAGCUCCAGAUUAGCUUGGACAACAUAUCAAGACUGCCUGUUAAAAAUCAUUAAACAAUACAAAACAACUAAACAAAAAACUUGGACAAGAACAGAAUCCAGAAGAACACUCUGCUCCUGAAUCUGACUUGGUCCAAGAAGUAAAGAUAAAAAAGCUUUAAUGGGGCCAGGAUUUAGCUCAGUGGUUCCGCUGCCUGCCUCGAAAGUGCAAGAUCCAGAGUUGGAUCCCCAGUACCAAAAAAAGGGUAACUCAGGUUUUGUGUAGCUUGGAAUAGCCAUCAAGAGGUAGAAGUCACUGUCAUAGGUUUGCUUCCUAUAACUGUCAGGGCUCAGUCUGAAGGAGGAAAAAGGAAAUUCCCACUGUCCUGCAGAAUCACGGGAAGGAAAUAUCACCAUAUUUGAGGAUGGCACCAGUUAAGGGCAAGUUUAAGUUUCAAACAACCGAAUUCUUUCUAGUUAGUUUAAUCAGGAAAUGAAUAUAUGGGCUGAGAUUGUUGCUUAGUGCUAGAGCACUUGCCUAGCACAAGUGUUUGAUCCUCAGCAUCACAAAAAAAGGGGGGGAGAGGGAGGAGAGAGAAGGAAGGAAGGAGAGAAAGAGAGAAUGAAUGAGUAAAAUGUACUUAAACAUGCCAGAGAGGUAGGAAAAACGCCCAAUGUUUUGGGAGUUGCAGGAGUUCCUCUGUGAAAACACCCUUGCCACUGCUCAGUACGGCUGAUGCUCCGAACUGGAUGAAGAAAAGAAAAAGAAGUGGAUGCAGGGCCAGGGAUUUAGCUCAGUGGUUUCACUGCCUGCUGCGCAAGCACAAGGACCCGAGUUCUAUCCCCGGUACCAAAAAAAAGAAGAAAUGGAUGCAGACAUCCCACUUCUGCACCGCGGGAGAGCAGGGUGGAGGAUGAAGGCUAAGAUGGGGUGAAGUUGAGGGUUAGGCCUAGAGUUCUGGCAUCAGGCCCCUGCCCCUAUAGUCAGUGCAGAUGAGAGGAGCUCAUUCACUCAUUCACUGCACAAAUAGGUAUGGCCUGUGUCCUAUGUGCCGGGAACUGUGCUAAGCGCCAGGGACAAAGUGGUGACAAAAACAAAGACACACCAUUUUUGUUCUUGUGGUGCUUUGAGAUUAUUGGGUGAGACAGUGCUGGAACAAGGGAAGCCUGGGGAGAUGAAGAAGCCAGGGUCUGCUGAGAAGGGCAGGAUGAGAAGGAAGCCGAGAAGGGCAUGAACUCUGCAGAAGGCAGCCUCAGCUCAGCCCUGGCCCAGAGUCCAGCACCUCGAGGCUGCCGUCCGUGGCACCUGUGCAAGAGAAACUUGCUGUUUGUCCUUACUGAUGCCCGUAGCCUGGACCCUGCACACCCUGAGAGAUCCUCAACCAUUUCAGAAAUGAGCAGUCGUGGUUCUCUCACAGCCAAGGGACAGGAGGGAGUGAAGCAAGUUCACCAAGCCCAGGUGGUAAAGGCUUAGGCGGAUUUGGGGCCCACUGUGCAGAGUGGCUGCCUCAGUGCUGCCAUCUGGAAAGGGGAACAGAUGGGAUGGCUCAGAUUAUGUGGAGAACACUCGUCACCGCGACCUUUUGCCGAGUUGCCUGAGGAGCAUGUGUUCUGUGUGUGGCCUCACGGGACACCGGCCACUUCAUCCUCCGAAGUCGGAAGCCUCCAUUAGCGGUGCUGUGCAGAUGUGAGCAGCCCUUGGACUCCAGCCCUGUCCCCAGACCUUCCCUUCUGUGGCUUGGCUCCCAGUCUUGCCCAGGCCCAGGCUGUCACCCGCAGAUGCUGGUUCACUCCUUCUCCAAAGUGCUGCUCUGCUUCCCUCUGCAGCCAUCAUAGGCAAGGAUCUUGAAGUUCUGGAGCUGGCACUGAAGAGGAAUCUGGACUGAAGAGCCCAGCCGGGACUAGUGACGGGAGGCUCCAGGCAGUGGGGCUGCAGGGGCAGGAGAGACGCCCAUGGGAGGGGACACAGCAGGUCUGAACAGUGAGCAACAGAAACUACCUGUGUCCAGGGAUAGAGAACAGGGAGCUUGGUGGUACAAGUGUGAACUCUCCACCCGAGACCCUGCUUUCUGGGACCUUCCCUUCAUUAGGUGUGACAGUGGUAUGGUGAUAAUGUAAAGUGUAUGGGUCCUCACUAGGUAUUCAUGGGUUAAUCAGAAUGAUGCCGAGGUCUUGAUUUUAAAGCUGGGGGUGGGGGAGAUGCACACAAACAGUAUUCUUCACAGGUCCAUAAUUGUUGGAGCUAGAUAAUGGGUACAUAGGGGUUUAUUAUGUAAUUCUCUUUACUUUUCCAUGUCUUUGCAUCUUUCCAUUGCUUAACAGAAAGAAAGAAAGAAAGAAAGAAAGAAAGAAAGAAAGAAAGAAAGAAAGAAAGAAAGAAAGAAAGAAAACCUUUACAUAUGCUGUCAUGGAGGGAGGAAGACAGGGAAGAAAACCAGUUUGUUAUCUUUCUAUCUCUCAGAGUUAGAAAGAAUGGAAUUUUUAGAGGAAUCUCAAAGCCUUCUUUGUACAUCUUUACAUCCUUUCACAAUUUUAAUGAGCAUCAAUUCCUUUUGUGAUUUAAAAAAUAAUUUUAAAAACUAUAUUACAGGGCUGGGUGUGGUAGUGCAUGACUGUAAUCCCAGCAUUCAGGAGGCUGAGGCAGGAGGGUUGCCAUGAGUGGGAGGCCAGUCUAGCUACAUAAGGAGUUCAAGGCCAACUUGAACUAUAUAGUGAGAUUCUGUCUCAAAAACAAAACAAAACCAAAAAAAAAAAAAACAAAAAAACACCACA